rnacentral:lncRNA from 1 species
GGAUACAGUUAUUUUGUUCAUUAGUGAACAAGAGUCUCACCUUCAUCAGUGUUUCCCUCAGAACACAUGGAGGAACUACCAACCUGGAACAAGGAAUGUUGCCAUCCUGCCCUUCCUGAAGGUAUUAGUUGGCAUGGAUACCUGGCUCCAAUCCACCACCAGCUGCCACGCUCAAGUCCCCACCUGGAGGUGGAGGGAAACAAUGAAAAAGAAAAUAUAACUUCAACUGUGCAGAAGAAGAAAUUGAAGCCAAAUUUUAAAAUGAACCAGCUCAGGCUGGCUGGUAUGACGUGGAUGGAUGGACUGUCAUGAAACCCAGGGUAGGAUACCCAGAAGCAAUAUGGAGUUGUGCAAGGAGAAAGGUGAACCGAGGCCCUGAAGCUGCUCAGGAA